CUGGGGAACAGGGCCACGUCCACAAUGGCUACGCUGCUGGAAAAAUGGGAGCAGAAGCAGACUGUCACAUCUUGGGAUCUCCUUCUGGCUUAAGGAUGAGAACCACCCACUAAACAAAGAAUAAAACAAGCUGAGCAAACUAGAGUCCAAAGAUGGAAAAGGCCAGUUAAUGGAAGAGCCAGGAUCAUAACCCAAACUUCUCUGUUCCCAGUGAGUAGUUUUCGCUUCAGCAUUUCCCAGGUGUGUUCUGUAUGAUGAUACCAGAUAGCCCACGAAUAAAGGUUUCCAUCAACAAGCAAGUUUGCAAAACACUGGAUUAAGGUCAAAUAGACGUCUUUUGCAGAGCUCCUCAGAGAUUCUCCCUUGAGCAUCGUGAAGCUCCAAGAUAAGCCUAUGACAUGGAACAUUUCCCCCCGAAGGACUAACACAGACUUCUUCCUCCGGAGCAUAUUAAACAUCUCAGAACGCUUGCUGAGACAUUGCUGCAGGGCAGUGGAAACCUCCAUGGACUUUGAUUUGUGGGGUGUGGUGGUUCUUAUGCUAAAUUAAAAGCAAUCCCAUUCCUUCCAUUAGGCCUUUCUGUCUGCAUCUCUGCCCAGCUGACUUGGGAGGCUGAGGAUAUAAAAAUAAUGAAAACCAGAUUCUAGAAAGAGCACACUUGUUUAGAGUCACCCAAAUGCAUCCAAAAGGCAGACUGGAUGCUACUCAGCUCUUCUCCCAGGAGGAGGAAUAUAAAGGAAAAAACCUACACCCUGUGACCCUCAAAUUCUUUCCAUUCUGAGUAAUUUGCUCACAGCCACCACAUCACAAAAGUACUAGCUAGAGCCUCUUAAGAGGGGACACAGGAGCCCAGGGAACCAAGGUUCUUAUCUCAGCUCUUCCACUAUUUGCCAUCGGACCUAGACUAGUUCACUAUCGGCUCAGCCUCUUACUUUGAAAACUUUUUUGCAUCAAAUUAAUCUCUCCCUUCCUCAGGCUACCAUACACUUACAUUUUGUCUAUACCAUUCCUCCCCUUGGGCCCUUGAAAAUCUCUUGGGAACAUAGUUUGAGAACCAGCAAACCCGAUGGGCUCUAUAGCUCAUCUCGGUUCUGAUAACCUGUAAUUCAAAUUUGUAUGUACUUUUGCAAGCUUUGCCUCCGAUUGUUAUUAAAGGACCCCAGCUCCUUGUGUAUUGCUUCUCUUAAUCUCUGGGAAGCACCAGGAGUGGUUCUCACUUGCUGGCUUCUUGAGAUGCCAGGACUCCCCAGUCCACAGACUCUAUUACAUGGACUGUGCAGAGGAGAGAAGAAUACUUUUCUCCCACCAUUGUGCUAUAUUUUGUCCCAUGAAUUUCCAAUAGGUAUCGUUGAUGCCCUUUUGAUGCACGAAGACCUUAGUAAAGCAGCUCUUCUGUAUUUGGCUAAUUCCUUCUCACCCCCAUUUCCCUCCACAAACUACUAAGCACGAGCCAAUGACAGCGCAGGGGUAGGGCUGCAGUGAGGCCGAGAAAGAAAGCUGCAUGAUAAACCUAACACUGACUGAACUCUGACCCACUUCUCUUUGAUGCUGAAGAUUCUGUCGCUAGACCCAACUGCCGGUUUCUUCGCUUUGCUUAGGAUAAGUUCCUCUCGGGAGACACCAGAGGCCUUCGUGAAAAUUAGACUUGCUGAGUUGGGCCUCCUUGGUGGAAGCGUCUGCUGGGGCCUCUGGGAAGCGUAUGCCCACGAGAAGUAAGAAAGGCAGGAGCCUUCGUGGGGAGCCUCCUGGGAAGGAGAAAGGGGAGAAGGAACAGGACAGGGGGGAGAGCCUCAGACGGCAGUUCGGAUCUGACGCCUCUGAAAGGAGAGGGAGAAAGAGGGAGGCUCGGGCAGGAGACGCCUCAGCCGGCAUCGCAGCUCUGAGAAAGUCUCAGCCAGGC